AUACGGAGGGUGCAAGCGUUACUCGGAAUCACUGGGCGUAAAGCGCGCGCAGGCGGCCAUUUAAGAUGGAUGUGAAAGCCUACGGCUCAACCGUAGAACUGCAUCCAAAACUAUUUGGCUAGAGUGUGAGAGAGGAAGAUGGAAUUAGUUGUGUAGGGGUAAAAUCCGUAGAGAUAACUAGGAAUACCAAAAGCGAAGGCAAUCUUCUGGAACAUUACUGACGCUGAGGCGCGAAAGCGUGGGGAGCAAACAGAAUUAGAAACCCCAGUAGUCC
rnacentral:rRNA from 1 species